AGUCGAGCGAGCUUGCCUAGAUGAAUUUGGUGCUUGCACCAGAUGAAACUAGAUACAAGCGAGCGGCGGACGGGUGAGUAACACGUGGGUAACCUGCCCAAGAGACUGGGAUAACACCUGGAAACAGAUGCUAAUACCGGAUAACAACACUAGACGCAUGUCUAGAGUUUAAAAGAUGGUUCUGCUAUCACUCUUGGAUGGACCUGCGGUGCAUUAGCUAGUUGGUAAGGUAACGGCUUACCAAGGCAAUGAUGCAUAGCCGAGUUGAGAGACUGAUCGGCCACAUUGGGACUGAGACACGGCCCAAACUCCUACGGGAGGCAGCAGUAGGGAAUCUUCCACAAUGGACGCAAGUCUGAUGGAGCAACGCCGCGUGAGUGAAGAAGGGUUUCGGCUCGUAAAGCUCUGUUGGUAGUGAAGAAAGAUAGAGGUAGUAACUGGCCUUUAUUUGACGGUAAUUACUUAGAAAGUCACGGCUAACUACGUGCCAGCAGCCGCGGUAAUACGUAGGUGGCAAGCGUUGUCCGGAUUUAUUGGGCGUAAAGCGAGUGCAGGCGGUUCAAUAAGUCUGAUGUGAAAGCCUUCGGCUCAACCGGAGAAUUGCAUCAGAAACUGUUGAACUUGAGUGCAGAAGAGGAGAGUGGAACUCCAUGUGUAGCGGUGGAAUGCGUAGAUAUAUGGA
rnacentral:rRNA from 1 species